GCAGUCGACCCGUCAGCCUCCACACCGACAGCAAGUUUCACUCCUGCAGCAUCUCAGCUCCCAUCCAGUCACUACGUUCCUGUGAUCGUUGGUGUGACUCUGGCUGCCAUGGUGGUUCUGAACUCAGCAGCUCUGAUGGUUUUCUGCAGGAGAAGAUCUCUGGGAGACAUUUUCUCCUAACAAAACGUUUUGUUUCAAAGAUUUGAGGAGGAGAGGAGACGAUGGAGUAAAGAUGGAGAACGUCGGCCAUGAGGACGUUUCCUCUGAGGACGCGACUUAUCAGAGUCUCAGUCCUCCCAGCAGAGACCAGAACCAGAUCUACUCUACGCUCUAACAGCCCAGAUGAGACCCUGGACUCAGGUUCUGGAUCUCAGGUUCUGGACUCAGGUUCUGGAUCUCAGGUUCUGGAUCUCAGGUUCUGGACUCAGGUUCUGGAUCUCAGGACUGCAUUUGUUCAGUGAAUUUGAAACCUGAAGAAAGUUGGAUUUAUUA